GGGGACGUAGUAUAACUUGGCUAGAAUAGGGGCCUCCAGAGCCUCGGAUCCGCGUUCAAAUAUUGGCGUUGAGCGGCAAUGCUUUGAACGUCAGUGAGAAAGUCGCGGCGUCCCCA
rnacentral:tRNA from 1 species